rnacentral:lncRNA from 1 species
GGUAAGUUUGAUUACCCCUGCCGAGGCUGCUGUGUGUGCAUGUCUUUUUGGCAUUUGUGGAGCUCAGUUGUUUUUUGUGUGUGUAUGUUUUAACUUUCUGUUUUUCUGAGCAGUAAAUAGUGUGUUUGCUGAGUGUGGUUGGCAGGAGGAGGUGGGGAGCUGCUCAGGACUGGUAGGUUUGGUUUCUCGGAGAGUACGGCAGCCUUCCUGUGUGAUGUGACGGAUUGUUGGGCGGUAACAUUCCAGCUUGUGUGUCUUAGGCAAUGUAGCCUGUGUAGUGUGUGUUGUGUGGCCUGGGCAGAUUUUGUUGUGGUGCUGUGAGUGAAGAAUCUGAGUUAGAGGUGGUGAGCAGCUGAAGUACCGGAGCUGGGAAGAGAGAGGUCUUGCAGCAGGUACGCUGUGGCUGUGAGGUGCCUCAGAGUAUGCUUUUCCCUUGUCUCUGCAGGUGCUUUGUGCAGUCGUGGACAGGGAAGGGAAAUCCUCCUGUGAUGGAGCUCUGAGGGAAGGUGAGUGUUGCCAGCCUGGUCAUGCCUUAUCUGAAGUGAAGUGAAGACGCUCAGGUGUUUCCCUGUGAGGGUCUGAGGUGAGACUGUUUGGGAUAGAGGAGUAGCGUGGCAUGUGGGUGCUUGCAAGCACAGUGGUCGUUUUGUCCUUUUGUGUUCCCAGGUGUUGUGGAUGAUGGUGGCCGCUCCUUUCAAGCUUGGACCUAAUUUGCAGGUCCAGAGGCAAGUGGAGUGCUGUUUUGAAAGGGUAAAAGUUGAAAUGCAGCGUGCAGUGCGCAGUGCAGGACGUCUCGACCCGAGCUGCCUCUGCAGUGACUCUGGUGCGUGAUGAGCAGAGGUAACUGUUGUUUUUGGGGUGCGGUUGUCACUGCAGUUAUUUUCCUAUGUCCAAUAGAGUAAAAUUCCAGUUUCUCUUUUAGAGGUGCUAUAAGGGGGUGAAGAGAAGAGAUGGAAGCAUGUGCCAUGUGGGGCAGGCAAGCGGCUGAGGUACAGGAGGGGAUGAGAGUAUGUGAUUUUUUUCUGGGGAUGGAAUAGAAUUAAUUUUGUUGGUGUAUAAUCUGUUCCGCUCCUAGAUUUUUCUUUCAAUGCAAA